AUACUUUUCUCGACCUUUUGGCUAAGAUAAAGUGUAGUAUCUAUAUUUUAAUAUCUGGUAUGUGGGUUCAUCACACUGGUUUUCCACUGUACUCUCGGGUGUUGGUGUCGCAGAACUGUUGCAUUAUACCAAUCAAAU
rnacentral:snRNA from 1 species